rnacentral:rRNA from 1 species
GACGAACGCUGGCGGCGUGCCUAAUACAUGCAAGUCGAACGCAGUGGGGACGGGUGAGUAACACGUGGGUAACCUCCCAUCAGAGGGGAUAACAAUUGGAAACAGGUGCUAAACCGAUACUGAUGGAUGGACCAGCGGGUCAUUAGCUAGUUGGUGAGGUAACGGCUCGCCAAGGCCACGAUGCAUAGCCGACCGUAGGGGGUGACCGGCCACACUGGGACCGGGACACUGCCCAGACGCCUACGGGAGGCAGCAGAUGGGAAUCUUCGGCAAGUGACGAAAGUCUGACCGAGCAACGCCGCGUGAUUGAAGAAGUUUUUCGGAUCGUAAAACUCUGUUGUUCAAGAAGCGGUAUCUAACCAGAAAGCCACGGCUAACUACGUGCCAGCAGCCGCGGUAAUAC